UCUAUCGGUAAGGACGUGAAAUACGAAAUAACAAGGGAGAGACUUUGAACUUGUUUAUCCUAACUGAAAAGGGUAAGUUGAAUAGUUAAUUGAAACAUCUUACUAAACUAUGAGGAAUACAUCAACUGAGAUUCCGUGCGUAGCGGCGAGCGAUAGCGGAGAAAUUGUCUUAAACAGAUAAUUAAGAUGAUUGGACAUCUAGACUAAACCCCGAUAGACACCUAUAGAGAAAGUACCGUGAGGGAAAGACUCAGAAUUGGUUCUAAAAGUUACCUUUUGCAUAAUGGGCCUGCAAGACAAGAUUUGGCAAGCUUAAGUAGUAAAUGAAGGCGUAGUGAUAGCAAGACAAACUCGUUAGUCAAAUUUUCCCGAAACCAAGUGAUCUAACCAUGGCCAGGUAGCUAUGCUGACCGAACCAGUGAUUGUGGCAAAAAUCUUGGAUGAGCUGUGGUUAGCGGUGAAAUACUAGUCGAACUUGGAUAUAGCUGGUUCUCUACGAAACUUAUCUUAGUAAGGCGCCCCAAGCUGAUUCGCCCCCAAACCCCGGGGGUUUGAAUUACUGGUGUAGUAAGACUAUGGCGAUAAGGCCCCUAGUCAAGAGGGGGAAGCCCCAACCAGAAAUUAAAGUCACUAAUACAGAUUAAGUGUAUAAAGAGGGCUCAACUUAGACAAACAGAAAGUAGGCUUGGAAACAGCCAUCUGCACAGGAAAACGUAAAAGUUCACUGAAUGAGCCAGGGACCUCUAAUAAUUAAGGCGGCUAAAUCUGUAACUGAAAUUCUGGAAGCCAGACCGUAAGGAAGCAUCAACUGGCUUGUUAGUAGAGCGUUCUGUAGGCACGAUAUGUGCGCACCUUGUAAGAUAAACAGAAGUGAUAAUGCAGGCAUGAGUAGUACAAGAUUAACUCCCAAAUAAAUAUAUAUAUGUAUACAGCUUCUAAGGACAUUAUGCCCGAUGAAUUAUAAUUUUUAUACCUGUUCAGGAAAAAUAUUAUGGUACUUCGUACCUUCAACUGUUAUUUAUGGGAUUUAUAUCUAGGCAUAAUUUCUCUUAAGGAACUCGGCAAAAUAAGAUCUCGACUGUUUACCAAAAACAUAGCUCUCUGCUAAAGGCUACUUAAGUAUAGGGGGUGAAUUCUGCCCAAUGGUUGUACAGUGAAACUAAGUACUAACGUAUAAAGCGAAACCCAACUGAAUGGCCGCGGUAACUCUGACCGUGAUAAUGUAGCACAAUAAAUAGCCAAUUAAUUGUUGGCGGGUAUGAAUGGAACCACGAGGGUUUUACUGUCUCAAGAGGAAAGCCGAUGAAAUUAUAGUUGUAGUGAAGAUACUACAUAGACAUUGUAAGACGAAAAGACCCUAUCGAGCUUUACUGGAUACCGAUAGCGUUAACUCAAAAUGAUCGAUACUAAGUAUUCUAAUUUUGAGUUAAUAAUUUUUGUUGGUGGGACAGUUUAGUUGGGGCGACUGCCUUUGAAUAAGAAACGAAGGCGAGCUUAUGGUAUACAAAGCUAAUCUCAUUAGCCUGACAGUGAGGGGGACACCCCUAGCUGGCACAAGGACUACAUCCUAUGUGGGCGAUAAUGACCCGAUAUAAUUGUCCAAAAUAAAUAUCGAAAGCGGAUAAAAGCUACCGUAGGGAUAACAGCGUAAUAUUGUCGGAGAGUUCUUAUCGAGGACAGUGUUUGCGACCUCGAUGUUGAAUUGCGGUGCCCUGGUGCUGUAGAAGGUACCCUAGGUUGGUCUGUUCGACCAUGAAAACCGUACAUGAUUUGAGUUCAGAGCGUGGUGACACAGCUCGGUUUCUAUCUACAAUGUUCAAUCCCAACUUUUUUGAGUCCUAGUACGCAAGGAAUGGUCUCAGCGAUGCUCGACUAUAUUGGCCCCAUCGAUGUAAUUAACUUCUGGCUGCUGCAAAGAAGGAGAACAAAAGGUUUAGGGAUUAAUAAGAUCACCUUCUUAUAUGCCAUGUGGGUGCAUAGCCCCUGGCAUACUAUGGAAUUAACACUAGGGCUCAUCAUACUAAUAGUGUUGACGUAUGGAUUAAAGGCCCCCACUUUAAGAUUAGCUAUGCUACUUGCGGGGGCUGCUGGGCUAUUAGCUGUGCCCCACCUACUAUGUUGGACACAGGCGAUUAAGAUGUUGGUGAUGCUUAGUGGGUUAGCUAUACU
rnacentral:rRNA from 2 species